rnacentral:rRNA from 1 species
CAGUAGCCGCGGUAAUACGAGGGGAGCUAGCGUUGUUCGGAAUUACUGGGCGUAAAGCGCGCGUAGGCGGCUUUUUAAGUCAGAGGUGAAAGCCCGGGGCUCAACCCCGGAAUUGCCUUUGAAACUGGAAAGCUAGAAUCUUGGAGAGGUCAGUGGAAUUCCGAGUGUAGAGGUGAAAUUCGUAGAUAUUCGGAAGAACACCAGUGGCGAAGGCGACUGACUGGACAAGUAUUGACGCUGAGGUGCGAAAGCGUGGGGAGCAAACAGGAUUAGAUACCCGUGUAGUCCCUGUCUCUUAUAU